AAAAAGAAUUUUAAAAUAUUACUACUUUUAUAAAAAAAUUGUUUAUAAACGUAAAACUUAAAAUUUGCUAUUAGAUAUUUCUAUAAAAGAUUAGGUAGUUGGUAGUAUUAAAAGUUUACCAAGCCCGUGAUCUUUAGUUGGUCUGCGAGGAUGAUCAACCACACUGGAACUGAGACAAGGUCCAGGCUGUUUUUUCGGCCAGCAGUGGGGAAUAUUGGACAAU
rnacentral:rRNA from 1 species